GGCCAGGUAGCUCAGUGGUAGAGCACUGGUCUGAAAAACCAGGUGUCGACAGUUCGAUCCUGUCCCUGGCCACCA
rnacentral:tRNA from 1 species